AAUGUGUAACACUAUAAAUGACAGUUGCUUUACAUUUUGCAUUUCGAAGAAACUAUAAGAUACUAAAAGUGCAAUCAAAUCCCAAACGGACUAAAAACAGACAAAGCCUUUGCCAAAAGAAUAAGGAAUAAGAGAAGUAGUUAGUCAACAAAACUCAAUGACGAGUUACAUUUAACCUACUAAAUAUCAGUGAUCAACACACAGGUUGUCAGUUCAUGCUCGACCUUCCAGUUAUAAAUAAUUUUCAGUGAUCAAUUAUUUACCAAGAAAGAAGGAUGUGGUUGUAUUUAUUAUUGUACUUAUAAAUAUAUUAUAUCCAUAUAAGGGCACGGAUAUUUCGUAACGGUCAACCAAGCUAUACAGACGACCUUUAAAUUUGGGAGUGAGGACAUCUAACCGCUAGUUCAGCAUCUUCUUUGAAGGCAUGAACAAAGAAUCAAGAAAAUACUAACAGGAAAGCACAAUCUCUGAACCGUGUUAUCAAUUAAGAGAAAAUAAUUUGUAUAUGCAAAUUCUGUUGGCAUAGAAGAUACGCAUAAUGCGAAAAAUGAAGUUUCUAUUCUAUCAUCAAGUUGAGUUAUGUUCCAGCGCUCAUCCCCAUUAUCUGUAGGCCAAGAUCACCAUCCAGAACGAUACGAAAAAGCUAACCAAAAAAGGGCAUAAUGAAGCCAAAUGGCAUACACCAUCAAAUCCGGGGUA